GUGCUGCCAGCAGCGCUCAAGCCGCCCGAGCCGGAGCGGAGCCCCUGUUCUCAGCUGCAGCCAGGAUCUGCCCCCAGCCCCGCUGGGAUCCAGACAGGCUGCAGAAUGACGUCCAUGUUUUGCUCCAGCUCAUCCCAGCCUGACGUGGGACAGGGAAGAGAAAUGGCUGCAGUGGAGUCAGUUAAGGGGCUGGUGA